UCUAGAGAAAGAGGAUUUGAACCUCAUCUAAGAGCCCAAAACUCUUCGUAUAUCCUGUUAUACUUUGCCCUA
rnacentral:tRNA from 1 species